GGUUUUGAAAUUAUAGGAAUGAAUUUGUUUUGAAAACAUUGUAAGUGGGUUCGAAUCCCAUCAGAAUCU
rnacentral:tRNA from 1 species